UACGUAGGGGGCAAGCGUUGUCCGGAAUUAUUGGGCGUAAAGAGCGCGCAGGCGGUCGUUCAAGUCGAGUGUGAAAGCCCCCGGCUCAACUGGGGAGGGUCACUCGAUACUGAUCGACUUGAAGGCAGGAGAGGGAAGCGGAAUUCCCGGUGUAGUGGUGAAAUGCGUAGAUAUCGGGAGGAACACCAGUGGCGAAGGCGGCUUCCUGGCCUGUUCUUGACGCUGAGGCGCGAAAGCUAGGGGAGCAAACGGG
rnacentral:rRNA from 1 species